UCCANGAGGCAGCAGGCGCGUAAAUUACCCAAUGUGGACUCCACGAGGUAGUGACGAGAAAUAUCAAUGCGGGGCGCUUCGCGUCUUGCUAUUGGAAUGAGAGCAAUGUAAAACCCUCAUCGAGGAUCAACUGGAGGGCAAGUCUGGUGCCAGCAGCCGCGGUAAUUCCAGCUCCAGAAGCGUAUGCUAAAGUUGUUGCAGUUAAAAAGCUCGUAGUUGAAUUUCUGGUGUGGGAGCCCAGGCCUCGGUGCGAAUGCGCCUUGUAUUGCCUUGCGGCUCCUUUGCCAUCCUCGUUUUUCUUUUGAAGAACGUCAUUCACUGUAAUCAAAGCAGAGUGUUCCAAGCAGGCCGUAGGGCCGGUAUGUUUAUUAUGGGAUGAUCAGAUAGGACUCGGGUGCUAUUUUGUUGGUUUGCACAUCUGAGUAAUGAUUAAUAGGAACAGUCGGGGGUAUCCGUAUUUAGGAGCUAGAGGUGAAAUUCUUGGAUUUCCGAAAGACGAACUACAGCGAAGGCAUUUACCAAGCAUGUUUUCAUUAAUCAAGAACGAAAGUCUGGGGAUCGAAGAUGNUNACCCCCUAANAAA
rnacentral:rRNA from 1 species